UACGUAGGUGGCGAGCGUUGUCCGGAUUUACUGGGCGUAAAGGGCGUGCAGGCGGUUUGUUAAGUGCAGGGUGAAAGCUCCCGGCUCAACUGGGAGAGGUCCUUGCAUACUGGCGAACUCGAGGGAGGCAGAGGAAAGUGGAAUUCCCGGUGUAGUGGUGAUAUGCGUAGAUAUCGAGAGGAACACCGGCGGCGAAGGCGGCCAACUGGACGAAUACUGACGCUGAGACACGAAAGCGUGGGGAGCAAACAGG
rnacentral:rRNA from 1 species